CACGGUGCUCGCCGAAGCAUCGGCCCGCGCCUUCGUGGCGUGGAGAUGAUCUACGAUUUUUCUGUUUAAGGAAGACUGUAGCACUCUGGGUCCCUCUGAGCACCAGGACAGUCCUGGGUUCAUGGUAGGAAGUCACCCUUAAAGAAGGUGGCUUGAUAGAGACACCCCACCACCGGCAGACUUCGUGCUUCCGUUUCCUUCUAAUAAUUGGGACUGGGACGAUCACUUCCGACUAGUAGGUAUGGAGUUAAGGGGUCGAGAUUUUGGGACAUUAGGAGGUGAGUCAAGUGGAUGAAUGUUCCCCAAGUGCAGAAGAACGCUGAGCAAGCAAGGGUCACCCAAGGCUGGGACUUGAGGCUCACAGAGAGCAAUAGGAGCCACCUAGACUUACAAAUCCAUGCCAAUCCCUUUUCAAAAACACCAGCCAGGAAGCACAGCCUGGAAUGACCAAAGACCCCGUUGGGGAGUCAAGCCUAGUGAUUAGUCCAGUUGUGUAUCCUGAAGGGCUGCUGUUUAGGCUCCUGCCUGGUGGCUGCUCAAUACUUGGAUUCCUCAGAGGAGUGCUUAUUGGAGCCCUACGCAGAACCUGGAAUAGGGACUAAUAGACUGGAAUCAGAGCACCUGUGUUAAAUCACGCCCAUCAAGGCGCAGUCAGGUGAUCUAAGGCCUGCGUGACCGACCUCUCUGUGCUUCAGCUCGUUUAACUAGAGGAACAAAGGCUAUUUAAAACCUUUGGUGACUCCGGACAGUGGUGGCACACGCCUUUAGUCCCAGCACUCGG